rnacentral:rRNA from 1 species
UACGUAGGGGGCUAGCGUUGUCCGGAAUCAUUGGGCGUAAGGAGCGUGUAGGCGGUCCGGUAAGUCCGCUGUGAAAGUCGGGGGGCUCAACCCUCGAAUGCCGGUGGAUACUGUCGGGCUUGAGUACGGAAGAGGCGAGUGGAAUUCCUGGUGUAGCGGUGAAAUGCGCAGAUAUCAGGAGGAACACCAAUUGCGAAGGCAGCUCGCUGGGACGUUACUGACGCUGAGACGCGAAAGCGUGGGGAGCAAACAGG